GACGAACGCUGGCGGCGCGCUUAACACAUGCAAGUCGAACGGAAAGGCCUGCUUUCCCUUGUGGAUUGCGGGUACUCGAGUGGCGAACGGGUGAGUAACACGUGAGUGAUCUGCCCCCAACCUGGGUAUAAGCCUGGGAAACUGGGUCUAAUUCCCGAUAGGACUGCAGGGUGGUGCCUGUGGUGGAAAACGAUUUUCUAGUGGUUGGGGAUGAGCUCGCGGCCUAUCAGCUUGUUGGUGGGGUAAUGGCCUACCAAGGCGGCGACGGGUAGCCGGCCUGAGAGGGUGGACGGCCACAUUGGGACUGAGAUACGGCCCAGACUCCUACGGGAGGCAGCAGUGGGGAAUAGUGCACAAUGGGCGGAAGCCUGAUGCAGCGACGCCGCGUGGGGGAUGACGGCCUUCGGGUUGUAAACUCCUUUCGACCGCGAGGAAGCCACCUGGUUGGAAGGGUGGUGACGGUAGUGGUAGAAGAAGCACCGGCUAACUACGUG
rnacentral:rRNA from 1 species